UGGUGGGAUACUACCCUGGCUGUAUGACCAUUCUAACCCGCCACGCUUAGCGCGUGGGGAGACAGUGUCAGGUGGGCAGUUUGACUGGGGCGGUCGCCUCCUAAAGAGUAACGGAGGCGCCCAAAGGUUCCCUCAGAAUGGAUGGAAAUCAUUCGCAGAGUGUAAAGGCACAAGGGAGCUUGACUGCGAGACUGACAAGUCGAGCAGGGACGAAAGUCGGGCUUAGUGAUCCGGUGGUUCCGCAUGGAAGGGCCAUCGCUCAACGGAUAAAAGCUACCCCGGGGAUAACAGGCUUAUCUCCCCCAAGAGUCCACAUCGACGGGGAGGUUUGGCACCUCGAUGUC
rnacentral:rRNA from 1 species